UUUUGAAUCUGGUCUCAGCGCUUAGCUGCGCGGGACUAAACCUUCACACUUGUUUAGUAUUACUACUGUCAGUCGGACGUGAGUCCGGCUGUAACAUAACUCUAAGAUUUAAUCUUAACUUAACCCUAGUCAUGAAAUUUUACUUAAAAUAAAAUAUUCAAAACUUUCAACAACGGAUCUCUUGGUUCUCGCAACGAUGAAGAACGCAGCGAAAUGCGAUACGUAAUAUGAAUUGCAGGUUUUCGUGAAUCAUCGAAUCUUUGAACGCACAUUGCGCCUUUUGGUAUUCCAGAAGGCAUGCCUGUUUGAGCGUCAUUUCUUUCUCACUGGACUCUGUUCAGUGGUAUUGAGUGGUACUCUUCACAGGGUUAGCUUGAAAUAUCAGUAGUGCGAGUGGUCGAAGCGACUUUCUCUCUGGAUAAUGUAUUAGGUUCUGCCAACUCGUUAGCCAGUGUUAAAGCAGCCUCAGCCUUUGUCUCCACUCUCCUAUCUCAAAGUUUGACCUCAAAUCAGGU
rnacentral:rRNA from 1 species